UGGCCUAACAAUUGUAUUUGCGCUGUAACAGAUCAUGCAGGUUAGUAACGUGUCUUUAAUGUUUAUGUGUUGUGGGGCAGGCGUUAUCUGAUGAACUCCCGAAUUAUAAUUAAAUUUUCCUUAAAAGGGUAUACAUCGGUAAUUGUGUAUCUAGAUCUUUCAUAGCACAUAUACAGCAAAUAUUCCAUGAAAGGAUAUGAACGUACAAAGGUGUAAAAGGGACGUACCCUUUGGGGCGAAAGGACCCAGGUUCGUAACCGGAAGUUCAACUUUCGAUACAAAUAAACAAAAAUCUUGGAAAUCUUGCACAUAGACCAUGCCCAGAGUUAAGAAGCAGUAGCCAAAAAUCGUCAUGUCUAAAUGUUAGCUUGUUGGUGGAGUUAAGCAAACAUAUAUCAUUAUCUGUAUAUAUCCUGCUAUAAAUUUUGCGUGUACCUACACACUUGUUACUAAAAACUGUCAGAGUGUCGAGUCUGUCACAUCAGUCAUCACAGUGACAUGUAUAGUUGCUACUACUCUCUAGCCUAAACUAGGUCGAUAUGCACAAUGUUGGGAAGAUCAGUUAGAAAGCGAAAAGUGCGACCUUGCUCUGCCACAACACCACCAGGGUUGUUACAGUUGGACCAGAGACAUAGACAACAAUGACACACCAGACUGAACUGGAUUCACGACUCAUCACGCCACUAACUCAACUCCUUUAGGUCACAUACAUUUGUACAUUGGAUCAUCGUCAGAUGUCAUUUAUGCAAACCCCAAGAGCUCUGCAUUAGUAUGUUCCAGUUCACAGUUGAUAAUUUACCAGGUAAUCAUCAGAUUUACAAAAGCAGUAUAUUACAAUGUACUUUUAAGUUAAACCCCUACAUGUACAUGUGAUUCUAACAUAUAACAAACAUAUGUAUAAAGAUUAAGGCAACUUUUAUAUUUAUUCCAAUCUUAUGGUUUAGAUUUAAAAGAUUUGUGUAAUGAUUAUAUCUCAGUUUCUAAACUUAAAUCCACAAAAUAUUGCUGAAUGUGUUAUUUUUACAAUUUAUAGAGGAUGCCACAUCAUGCGUUCUUGAAUAUAAGGUUACAAUUAUAUAUUAUUAUAAAUAUAUUACAUGUGAAACUUUUAAAUGUUGUUUUGUAUAUUAUCAUAUGAUUUGUGACAUAUGAUUUGUAAUGGAGAACACUAUUGACUAAUAUAAUAUUAUUUAUCUUGAUACAUAAUCUGAAUAUUACAAAUCGAUAUGCAUGUACUGCAUGAAUACAGAUGUUGCAAUAAAGUACCACAAUUAUAAAGGACAAAAUUUAUAGAAGUGUAUAUUUAUUGAUCACUAUUUUAGGACAGACUGCAAAUAUUUCUGUUCGACCAAACCCUACCAACCAGUCUUAGGUGUGUGGGAAAUUUUCAUUAUUUUUAAUUUUAUUUUUCUAUAUAUUUAAGGGAAAAUAGGGGCCAAAAUGGUUUUAUCUUGUAAACAUUUUUAAAAUGAGACUAUUACAGAGUUUUGUGUAAAUUGUCAGACGCAGAUAAGCGAGGAUAUAUACAUGUAUGUACAUCAAGGAUCCGGAAAUUUUUCCAGACAAUUUCGGUCAUUUUGAGAUGUUUGAAAAGUUGGUGCCCCUUUUCAAAUUGCCAAUAUCAACUUGACUAUAUUCAUAGCAUCAACGAACAUGACGAACUUGUAUUGCUGUUUCAUCGCAUUUACUAAGUAAAUGUCUUACCAUUACCAUGAAGGACAGUUUAGGGAAGGCAACAGUCUAAAAUUGAAAUGAUUUUAAUGACUCAAAAUGGUUAAUUUCUCAGACAUUGCUAACGUUUCUUUCAAUUUGACAAAAGUUAAAACCGGAAGUUUGCGAUAUUUUAAAGUACGAAUAAUUCCGGAUUCAUUUCCGGGAUUUGUUUUGUUUAUCAAAUUAACAGGAAAUCACCGGCUUUUUUAUUUUAUUACCUUUAAAGGUGUUUGAAUAUAACAGAUAAUAGUUGCACUCGUUUAAUUUAGCAUGAAAUCAAUUUGCAUUUUACGAUUAAAUAUUAAAUUUGCUGAAGACAAUUUCACGCAUGCGUAUUCCAUAGUAAAUAAAGCACAUGUGUUACUCAUGAAAAAAUACUUUUUUCUACGUAAAUUUAGAUUUAAUUUUUAAAUCAGAAUUGAUGACUGUCUUUGAUGAAAAGUAAAUAAAUAAUGAAUACACAUGUCAGGGAACUUUAAUGUUUUAAAGAUAUUAUUCUGAGCUUGUGAUCACUGUCAGGUGUGAAUUAAAACCACAGGUAAAAAGUGAUUAGUGAUCAUUAGCCAAUGUUUCCCGGAGGCAUUGGUAUAGAUAUUAGGAGGGCCCUCAGGAUUAUCAAACUAUCUAGUGGCAGUUUUAUUACAGGAAAGGGAUUAUAAACAAAAACAAGUGAUCACAAGUGCAAAAUGGCGAUUACGAAAUCCGAUUUCAAACAUUGAGUCAAUGAAAUGACCGAAAUUACUUCUGUAAAAAAUUAAAUUUGUCCUAAAUCCCAAUUACUCGUUUAGGACAAAUAGUUUCAUCUUAGGACACGACUGGCAAAUAUGAUCGUUUCCGGACCCUUGAUGUACAUGUAAUAUUAGCACAAACUAGUACAAUUUAAGUAAUUAUUUACAGCUUGUCUUGCAGUCUGCUCCAAACCAGUUAAAAAUCUUUAGUAUUUAGGUGUCGACAACAGCAUUAAUUUAUAUAUAUACUAGAAUUGAUUUUAAUCUUCAUCCUGGAAGAUUCUAGGAGUUGCUCAAAUAGAUGAGUAUCUUACGCUGUACAUUUAGGUGCCAAGCUUUGUUAAUUUUAGGCUGGAAGCAUUAUGACAACAAUUUCAUUUGCAUAAAACCAUUGGCCCUACUGGUUGCUGGGCUACUGUUGAUUCCAAAUUAUGGUUGAUAUUUAUUAAUGAAAAUUAUAGUACAGGUUGAAUUUCAGUUAGCAUGAACACUGGGACUAAUUUGAAAUGUUAUGCUUUUAAUUAUGAGGGUACCUAGAUGUUGUUAAGCAGCUUGUUUGUGUUUUUUUUUUUGUUUUUUUUUUUUGUGUAACACAGGUCAUCCUUUAUAACUUGUUUGUUGUCCUAACAGGAGACAUUUACCAUGUUUACUUUGCAUAAUCUAGGCCUUCUUAUGAUAAUCCAAGUUUCAGAUCAACUAGACCUCAAAUGGAAAUAAGUUUUCAUUUGGGCAACCUGGUUCAAACCCAAGACGAGACAGAGAGUGGUUGCUGCUGUUAUACUAAAUGUUUGUUUCUUCUUACAUGGAUUUAGACUCUAGUAUACAGGUCCUCAUAGUCAUUCUUUGAAAUUUGCAUUUGCCUGAGUUGAUCCAGUUCUUCUUGCCUUGUAUUUAUGGGCAGUUUUAUAACAUUAUAAGAAAUUCACUUCUACAUAGACAUCUUACACAUUCAGGUAUUUCCCAUCCAAUCUUUUAUGGUAAUAUACUUUACAAAGUACAAAAUGUCAGUUUACCUCAAAAGCUAACAAAACAUUAAAGCAAACUUAUAAAGAAGGAAUACUGUUGCCUGCAUAAAAAAUGGCAUAUUUUGGCUUCAAUAUUGAUUCACUUGCACAGUCUUUGCAUCGGACAAAAACUCAUUUAUUCUUAAACCAGUUGCUGGUUGAUACGGGUUAUGUUCCUCUAAUAUAUCAUUAUGUUAUGAUGAUAUGAUACUAAACCCCCAUUGGAGGGAUGGUGCUAGAUAUUUCAUAUAAUGGAGACAUAAUCUUUCGAACAGUUAAAUUGAGGUCUGGAGCUGGCAUGUCAGUAACUGUUAGUAGUCCAUUGUUGAUUUAUGUAAUGUCGUCAUUUUUCAAAUUUUGUUUUGUUUGUUUUGUUACCUAUUCUGAUAUUGGACUCGGACUUCUUUAAACUGUGUGAUUUUUACUGUGCGUAUUGUUGUGUGUUUGUUUGUUCUGCAUUUGGUUGAGAUUUUAAAUAACUUGUUUAACCCCUCCGCAAUUUAGUACCUGUUCCAAGUCUGGAGCCUCUGGCCUAUGUUAGCCUUGUAUGAAUUUUUAUUUUAGUUCAUAUAUUUUGGAGUUUAGUAUGACAUUCAUUAUCACUGUUCUGGUACAAAUUUUUCAUUAUGGCUGAAGCCAUUUCUGGUUUUUAGGUGGAUCGCUUCAGAUGCUUGGUCCCAACUGCAGAUGUUUAUCCUGCUAUUACCCCACGGGUUUUAUUACUGUUAUUUCAGACCUUUAGUAACCGUUUAAUUGCAAGUUCCACAGCACCCAGUACAUACAGAUGUAUCAGAGAGGACAGUCUUUCUUUUUUCAUGAGUUCAGAUCUCUAAUUGUUUUAAUGAAUACAUUUCCUAUCUCUCUCUAUGAAUUGUUAAGGUAUUGCUUACUUGUACAUUUUGUAUCUCUCUCAACAAAAAUUGUGACAUAACUUUUACUAGGUUUGGAUAUUUUUUUAGGAAAAUUUAACAGAUGUGUCAAAAAAAAAAAUUGAGGUUUGUCAGUUUUUAAGAAGGUAUUAAACACUCCAGGCUUUACAUUUACCUUAACCAGAGUCAUGCUGAAGUCUAGCAAAUAUUUCCUUAUCUUGUUGUUGGCUAAACUUGGUAUGAAUUCAGUGUGUUUGAAGCUGUCUUUUCAAUUGUUUUUGAGGAUUAUUAAAGGGUCGGAGAUCCAAUGCUGACAACUUAAGACAGGGGUUACAGAAGAAUUAUUAUUUUUCUCGAUUAAUUAUGCUUUAAAUUGUAUUGGUAUUACAUAUGUAACAUAUAAUUCCAUGUAGCUAUUUGCUGUACAAGAAUUGUAGGAGAUCCUAUUAGCUUUAAUGUUCGGAUAGUAGAAUCCUCAAUAGUAAGUAUGUUUUUGUAGCAGACCGACAUCCUCCAGAUGGGGUUGACUUAGGUCUAGGCACGGAAAUGAAUCUUUGUGAUGGCAUGAUUGUCAAGCAUGUUAAAAGUUAACUCAGAACAUGAAACUAUGAGGAUCCACCAUAUUUCUUAAUAAAACAUGUAGCAGGUAAUGACACAGGUAGUUCUAGAGUGGGAUUUUUGCACAAUGAGACGAAGAACAUGAUCAGAUGGAUUAUGCUGUUCAUCAAUUCUUAAGUAAGUAUGGUCUCAAAUUUGACCAGGUUAUUGCAAAGCAUGGACUUGUGUUGCUAUAGAAUAUACAACUAUAUUAUUGCCUUUAUAAUUAGCUGUCAGGGUUGCUACAUAAAAUAUUAUGAUUUUCGAUCAGACCAGAAAUUUUUCAACUGGAUGUUUUUCACUUGUCACCCUUAACAUGCUUAUGAAAUGAAUUGUUAAACAUCUUGAAUAUAUAUUUGAUGAUAUACUAUAAUAUACUAUAUUUUAUGGUAUACAAAUACAAUCAACUAUCUUAGGGUUUGGUGUAGUUUUGGUUAGUAUUUUUAUCUGUGUAGGUAAAUAUGUUUUUGAACAGUUGUUCACAAAACAUCAUAUAGAUUAUUUAACAUAUAUAUGUACCAAGUUGUACUUUGAAUAAAAAUAUCUAUCUA